GAUGAACGCUGGCGGCGUGCCUAAUACAUGCAAGUCGAGCGGACGGACGAGAAGCUUGCUUUUCUGAUGUUAGCGGCGGACGGGUGAGUAACACGUGGAUAACCUCCCUAUAAGGCUGGGGUAACUUCGGGACACCGGAGCUAAUACCGGCUAAUAUUUUGAACCGCAUGGUUCAAAAGUGAAAGACGGUCUUGCUGUUACUUAUAGAUGGAUCCGCGCUGCAUUAGCUAGUUGGUAAGGUAACGGCUUACCAAGGCAACGAUGAAUAGCCGACCUGAGAGGGUGAUCGGCCACACUGGAACUGAGACACGGUCCAGACUCCUACGGGAGGCAGCAGUAGGGAAUCUUGCGCAAUGGGCGAAAGCCUGACGGAGCAACGCCGCGUGAGUGAUGAAGGUCUUCGGAUCGUAAAACUCUGUUAUUAGGGAAGAACAUAUUUGUAAGUAACUGUGCACAGCUUGACGGUACCUAAUCAGAAAGCCACGGCUAACUACGUG
rnacentral:rRNA from 1 species